AUUCCUCCAAGGAAUACAUUUACUAUCCCCUUUUUGCUUGAUGCGGGCCGCAACCCAUUGCUCGCUCAUCCCCGUGAUAUUCAUCAAUUUCUUCAAAAAGGGAGGGACAUUAACAGGUCUUGAAUAGGCCUUAUCGGCCUGAAUCUUCGGGCAAUUAAGUAACGCCAUGUAUUCCUCCACCGUAGGUACUAAAUCAACUCCUCCGAAAGUGAAGCAACUGUAAGCGGGGUUCCAAAAUUGCGCGAGGGCCCGGAACAAGUACUUGUCC
rnacentral:lncRNA from 1 species